CCUACGGGGGGCAGCAGUGGGGCAAAAAACGGGUGCUUUCUGAGAUGUUUGGGGUUAGCGGCCAGAAUAUGUCCAUGGAAGACAUGAAAUGGAUCGCGGACUGGCACUUUGUCCAUGGUAUCAACCUGGUGAACCCCCAUUUGUCCCUGUACAGUUUCCGGGGUUGUCGCAAACGGGAUUAUCCGCCGAACAUUUUCUUCCAGCAGCCAUACUGGCCCGAUAUGCGAGGUCUAUCCGAUUAUCUGUCGCGAACUUCCUAUGUGUUAUCCUGUGGUCGGCGGGUAACGGAGGUGCGCCUGCUGCGCCCCAUAGG
rnacentral:rRNA from 1 species